rnacentral:rRNA from 1 species
CCAGACUCCUACGGGAGGCAGCAGUGGGGAAUAUUGCACAAUGGGGGGAACCCUGAUGCAGCGACGCCGCGUGGGCGAGGAAGUAUUUCGGUAUGUAAAGCCCUAUCGGCAGGGAAGAAGAAAUGACGGUACCUGAAUAAGAAGCACCGGCUAAAUACGUGCCAGCAGCCGCGGUAAUACGUAUGGUGCAAGCGUUAUCCGGAUUUACUGGGCGUAAAGGGAGCGCAGACGGCGGUGCAAGCCAGAUGUGAAAGCCCGGGGCUCAACCCCGGGACUGCAUUUGGAACUGUGCUGCUAGAGUGUCGGAGAGGUAGGCGGAAUUCCUAGUGUAGCGGUGAAAUGCGUAGAUAUUAGGAAGAACACCAGUGGCGAAGGCGGCUUACUGGACAGUAACUGACGUUGAGGCUCGAAAGCGUGGGGAGCAAACAGGAUUAGAUACCCCCGUAC